rnacentral:rRNA from 1 species
UACAGAGGGGGCAAGCGUUAUUCGGAAUUAUUGGGCGUAAAGGGCGCGUAGGCGGCUUGGCAAGUGGAUGGUGAAAUCCCUCGGCUUAACCGAGGAACUGCCGUCCAAACUGCUUCGCUUGAGACCGGGAGAGGUGAGUGGAAUUCCCAGUGUAGCGGUGAAAUGCGUAGAUAUUGGGAGGAACACCAGUGGCGAAGGCGGCAUCCUGGACCGACACUGACGCUGAGGAGCGAAAGCCAGGGGAGCAAACGGG